AGUGAACGCUGGCGGUAGGCCUAACACAUGCAAGUCGAACGGCAACACAGUAAGAGCUUGCUCUUACGGGUGGCCAGUGGCGGACGGAUCAGGAAUACAUCGGAAUCUACUCUUUCGUGGGGGAUAACGUAGGGAAACUUACGCUAAUACCGCAUACGCCCUACCGGUGAAAGCAGUGGAACUUCGGACCCUGCGCGAGUGAAUGCGCCGGUGUCGGAUUAGCUAGUUGGCGGGGUAGUGGCCUACCAAGGCUACGAUGCGUAGCCGGCCUGAGAGGGUGACCGGCCACAUUGGGACUGAGAUACGGCCCAGACUCCUACGGGAGACAGCAGUGGGGAAUAUUGCACAAUGGGCGGAAGACUGAUGCAGCAACGCCGCGUGCGGGAUGACGGCCUUCGGGUUGUAAACAGCUUUCGCCUGUGACGAAGCGUGAGUGACGGUAAUGGGUAAAGAAGCACCGGCUAACUACGUG
rnacentral:rRNA from 1 species